AUUAAGAGCUAAAAGAAGAUAAGUCUUUCUUUUACAGAUUUUUCUUUUAAAUUUUCAUCAAUACAGAAUAGAGAAACAACUAUGUAUUUAUGGUGUAUGGACUGUUACAUGUUGUUUUGAAAUCCAUUUUAAGGAAAUAUUGACCGUUGAGAUCAAACUUUUCAAUUUUCCACCUUGAUCUUAAUGCAUGUAUCUCUCCCUUCGAGAUCUAAUGGUUUUCUAUCAUUUUUCAAGUAAGCUGAAGUCGAUUAGCUCAAGAUACUUAAGGAGACUGGGCUUAGAGACAGACUUUGUAAGCAUGUCAACAUCAUUCUUUGUGGUAAAGAAGAGACCAAGUUGACAAGCUGAAUGAUGGACAUGCGUGAAGGAAACCCUUUACUUCUUCUGCCGAGUAAGUGAGGUGAUCAGAUGAGAAAUUAAUUUGUGAUUUUGCAAGGUAAAGAUUGAAGAUUUGUAGCAUGCAAUCAAGGAAGAAGAAGGAGAAGAAGAAGAUGAACACUAUGAUAUACGUGGUUCGGCCAGAAACGCUUACAUCCACAAGAAGGGGAGUUGAUUUCUUUAU